GGGGGCGAAACGGAUUCGACGGGGAUAUACAAGCUCAGGCUGCAUGUCGAGGUCUCUGACUGCUCGUUAAACGGUUGGAAUUUUAAAUAUAGUCGCAGACGACUAUGCAUAUGCCGUAGCAGCAUAAAUAAGCUACCGUUCCACCAACCCGUUCCUGCGGGGUUGAUUGGAGCGUCGACUAGCGGGAUAGCUUUCGGGAGGAGCCUACUGGCCCGAUAAGCGAAAUAAAAAGCGGGAUAGCGCCAAAAGUUCCUGGUCCUGGUGGAACCCAGGCGCGAUAAGCACUUAAGCAGGAAUACACAUGUAGACGCUUGCAGGGGAGUAUUUUCGGACGCGGGUUCGACUCCCGCCGCCUCCACCA
rnacentral:tmRNA from 1 species